rnacentral:rRNA from 1 species
UACGUAGGGCGCAAGCGUUGUCCGGAAUUAUUGGGCGUAAAGAGCUCGUAGGCGGCUUGUCACGUCGGGUGUGAAAGCCCGGGGCUUAACCCCGGGUCUGCAUUCGAUACGGGCAGGCUAGAGUGUGGUAGGGGAGAUCGGAAUUCCCGGUGUAGCGGUGAAAUGCGUAGAGAUCGGGAGGAACACCAGAGGCGAAGGCGGCAACCUGGACAGGCACUGACACUCAACUACGAAAGCGUGGGAGCAAACAGG